CCUGAGGGGCAGAGAGAGAAGGAAAAGGAAGUAAAAGGAAGGAGAGAUGCAAGGGAAGUAGGGAGGGAGGAUGGUAGGAAGAGCCGAAGGAAGGAAGGAAGAACGGAAGGAAGCAAGGAAUGACGGAAGGACGGAAGGAAGGAAGGAAGGAGCGUUCUGGCGGGGGUGGGCCAGAAGCAAUCAAAGGAGAAGUGGCUGGGAUGGAGCAGGCAGAAGCUGGGAGCCAGCUCCUGCUCCACCUGGGCUGACCUGGCUUUCUCUGCUAACCCCAAACCAACCCUGCUUCUCUCCUUCCUCGGAUCUAAUCUGUGCUCCUGAACUCAGCACUCAGGGGCGCGAGUUCUGGCCUCCACCUCCCUGAGCCUCAUUCCGCACAGUCCAGCCCCUCGAGCACACCCCUUACCACUGUGUUGCUGGGGGACAUGGGUACCUCUUCCUCCUGGAGGCUGUCCCUGAGCAACCACUAUUCCUGAGAGCACAGUGGCCUUCACGACACGCCUCAAGCCAAGCGGCCAGUCCACUGAAGAUCCAUAACCUUGAAUGGCUCUGGUCACAUGAGCAUGGGUGGCAGGUCCCCAGGGGGCUCCCCAGAGAGGUCACAUGCUCUCUUAUAGCUGCUUCCUGUCAACUAUCUUUUUUUUAACCUGGCCUUGCUGGAGGUUGGUAUCUUGGCAGUAUCUGAGUCUGAAUAUCUGAAUUCUGGGAACAGUCUUAUCAGUUCAUUGCUCCCUUUAGGGAAGAACAUGUAACCAGGCUAAUGAAUGCUGUUUUAGAUUUGCA